rnacentral:lncRNA from 1 species
UACACGUCCCGGCAUGCAACGCGGCCGGAGCGGAGGAGGAGCCGGCAGUGGGACGCGCGAGGUCUAAGGGCAAGCGGGAAAUGGCGGGCGGGGACUGAGUGGGGCGUGCAGAAAAGUUUCAUGACUCAGCCUAUAACCCUUCUGGACACCUAUACACACUGGCAACAGUAAGUCACCUGGCUGAAAUUGUCGUGUACGGACAUCCCAAGCUA